ensembl:lncRNA
GUUUUUAAUAGGAAAAGGAGGGACUUGAGGAGAGCUGAAAUAACCAGAGUCCAUUGGAGGAGACUGAGAACCCAAAGUAUGGAGGCUUCUUAUUGGUUGGACUGCCAGGCUCUGAUUGGCUGUCAUCUGGCAGACAAAACUUUUCUUCUUCCCGCUGGAUAGUGAAGUAAGCAACACCUUCCUGCAGGAGAGGAAAAACGUGAAGAGAGAAAAUCAUUCAGUAUGGGACUCUCACUCUGCAAGUACCAAGCAGAACAAGAACAAGCAAUGGCGCUGGUCACGUAGCAAGGAAAUACCUGUGGAUUCCAACUGUAGUGAGUAACACAUUAUCACUGUCGACUGGGGGAAAAGCAUACUUGUGAAGGUCACCAAGCAUUUUAUGAUUGGAAAUCUAGAUGUUCUUAAGAGUUAAGCAGCAAUGUACUUAGGUGGAAAAGCACAAUUUCUUUCAUUUAAUGUUUUAAAAAUUGACUUACGUCAUCUUUUCGUAUACUUUUUGAGUUUUGCCUGGAAAGAGGCAACAUUUAUUACUGUAACUGCCAUGGGGCUGGUGUGCAGACAGGGGGGUCUUGACUCAGGUGAUCUGGAACAAACCUCAACAUUACCCAGAGUUCAGGAAGCCUAAUUACCAGUCUGAAAAAAAUGAAUAGAAGUUACACAUUUCUCCCCUUUGAGAUCUUAGGAAUCAUGCAGGUUAACGCUGGGAGAUUAAGACUGACGUAUGUGCCCUGCCAUGUGUGAAAGAGAUAGCUAGUGGGAAGCUGCUAUAUAGCACAGGGACCUCAACCCGGUCCUCUGUGGUGACCUGGAUGAGUGAGAUGAG